rnacentral:rRNA from 1 species
AACGAACGCUGGCGGCAUGCCUAACACAUGCAAGUCGAACGAGACCUUCGGGUCUAGUGGCGCACGGGUGCGUCACGCGUGGGAACCUGCCCUUAGGUUCGGCAUAACUCCCCGAAAGGGGUGCUAAUACCGGAUAAUGUCUUCGGACCAAAGAUUUAUCGCCUUUGGAUGGGCCCGCGUUGGAUUAGCUUGUUCGUAGGGUAAAAGCCUACCAAGGCGACGAUCCAUAGCUGGUCUGAGAGGAUGAUCAGCCACACUGGGACUGAGACACGGCCCAGACUCCUACGGGAGGCAGCAGUGGGGAAUAUUGGACAAUGGGCGAAAGCCUGAUCCAGCAAUGCCGCGUGAGUGAUGAAGGCCUUAGGGUUGUAAAGCUCUUUUACCCGGGAUGAUAAUGACAGUACCGGGAGAAUAAGCUCCGGCUAACUCCGUG